CAGGCUUAACACAUGCAAGUCGAGGGGCAUCAGGAAGAAAGCUUGCUUUCUUUGCUGGCGACCGGCGCACGGGUGAGUAACACGUAUCCAACCUGCCCUUUACUCGGGGAUAGCCUUUCGAAAGAAAGAUUAAUACCCGAUGGCAUAAUGAUUCCGCAUGGUUUCAUUAUUAAAGGAUUCCGGUAAAGGAUGGGGAUGCGUUCCAUUAGGUUGUUGGUGAGGUAACGGCUCACCAAGCCUUCGAUGGAUAGGGGUUCUGAGAGGAAGGUCCCCCACAUUGGAACUGAGACACGGUCCAAACUCCUACGGGAGGCAGCAGUGAGGAAUAUUGGUCAAUGGGCGCUAGCCUGAACCAGCCAAGUAGCGUGAAGGAUGAAGGCUCUAUGGGUCGUAAACUUCUUUUAUAUAAGAAUAAAGUGCAGUAUGUAUACUGUUUUGUAUGUAUUAUAUGAAUAAGGAUCGGCUAACUCCGUGCCAGCAGCCGCGGUAAUACGGAGGAUCCGAGCGUUAUCCGGAUUUAUUGGGUUUAAAGGGAGCGUAGGUGGACUGGUAAGUCAGUUGUGAAAGUUUGCGGCUCAACCGUAAAAUUGCAGUUGAUACUGUCAGUCUUGAGUACAGUAGAGGUGGGCGGAAUUCGUGGUGUAGCGGUGAAAUGCUUAGAUAUCACGAAGAACUCCGAUUGCGAAGGCAGCUCACUGGACUGCAACUGACACUGAUGCUCGAAAGUGUGGGUAUCAAACAGGAUUAGAUACCCUGGUAGUCCACACAGUAAACGAUGAAUACUCGCUGUUUGCGAUAUACAGUAAGCGGCCAAGCGAAAGCAUUAAGUAUUCCACCUGGGGAGUACGCCGGCAACGGUGAAACUCAAAGGAAUUGACGGGGGCCCGCACAAGCGGAGGAACAUGUGGUUUAAUUCGAUGAUACGCGAGGAACCUUACCCGGGCUUAAAUUGCAGUGGAAUGAUGUGGAAACAUGUCAGUGAGCAAUCACCGCUGUGAAGGUGCUGCAUGGUUGUCGUCAGCUCGUGCCGUGAGGUGUCGGCUUAAGUGCCAUAACGAGCGCAACCCUUAUCUUUAGUUACUAACAGGUUAUGCUGAGGACUCUAGAGAGACUGCCGUCGUAAGAUGUGAGGAAGGUGGGGAUGACGUCAAAUCAGCACGGCCCUUACGUCCGGGGCUACGCACGUGUUACAAUGGGGGGUACAGAAGGCAGCUAGCGGGUGACCGUAUGCUAAUCCCAAAAGCCUCUCUCAGUUCGGAUCGAAGUCUGCAACCCGACUUCGUGAAGCUGGAUUCGCUAGUAAUCGCGCAUCAGCCACGGCGCGGUGAAUACGUUCCCGGGCCUUGUACACACCGCCCGUCAAGCCAUGGGAGCCGGGGGUACCUGAAGUACGUAACCGCAAGGAUCGUCCUAGGGUAAAACUGGUGACUGGGGCUAAAU
rnacentral:rRNA from 1 species